CCAGACACAAGGAGGAUGGAACCCUUCAUAUUCAUUCUCCUCUUAGGAGGACUUGUGGGAACAACGUCAGCUAAUGAGACAACAGUUAAUGCAACUUCCUCACCAGCAAACAUGACGUCACCAGAGG